UUCCUAUAGGAAUUCCUAUAGGAAAAAUUCCUAUAGGAAUUUUGUCCCAAAUUCUUAUAGGAAUUUUUCCUAUAGGAAUUCCUAUAGGAAA